UACAGAGGGUGCGAGCGUUGUUCGGAAUUAUUGGGCGUAAAGGGCGCGUAGGCGGUGCGGUAAGUCACCUGUGAAAUCUCCUGGCUCAACUGGGAGCUUGCAGGCGAAACUGCCGUGCUGGAGUGUGGGAGAGGUGCGUGGAAUUCCUGGUGUAGCGGUGAAAUGCGUAGAUAUCAGGAGGAACACCCGUGGCGCAAGCGGCCACCUGGCUGCCAACUGACGCUGAGGCACGAGAGCGUGGGGAGCGAACCGG
rnacentral:rRNA from 1 species